GUGUUCGCUUCGGCAACACAUAUACUAAAAUUGGAAUGAUACAGAGAAGAUUAGCGUGGCCCGUGUGCAAGGAUGACAUGCAAAUUUGUAAAGUGGAACAGCCAGUAUUU
ensembl:snRNA U6 U6 spliceosomal RNA